GCCCCCUUUGUUAACAUUGGGUAGAUAUGAACGAAAGCAAGGAAAAGAUGAAGUCGGCCUCUCACGCCGUUAACAGGGGUUCAAAUCCCCUUGGGGACGCCA
rnacentral:tRNA from 1 species